rnacentral:rRNA from 1 species
GUAGGGUGCAAGCGUUGUCCGGAAUNACUGGGUGUAAAGGGAGCGCAGGCGGGAAGACAAGUUGGAAGUGAAAACCAUGGGCUCAACCCAUGAAUNGCUUUCAAAACUGUUUUUCUUGAGUAGUGCAGAGGUAGAUGGAAUUCCCGGUGUAGCGGUGGAAUGCGUAGAUAUCGGGAGGAACACCAGUGGCGAGGGCGGUCUACUGGGCACCAACUGACGCUGAGGCUCGAAAGCAUGGGUAGCAAACAGGAUUAGAUACCCUGGUAGUCCAUGCCGUAANNUAUNCUUACUAGGUGUUGGGGGAUUGACCCCCUNAAUGCCCCNCCUNNCACANUANGUAAUCCACCUGGGGAGU